UACAGAGGUCCCAAGCGUUGUUCGGAUUCACUGGGCGUAAAGGGUGCGCAGGUGGGUUGGCAAGUUUGAUGUGAAAGCCCCGGGCUUAACCCGGGAAUGGCAUUGAAUACUGCUGAUCUGGAGGAUUGGAGGGGGGACUGGAAUUCUUGGUGUAGCAGUGAAAUGCGUAGAUAUCAAGAGGAACACCAGUGGCGAAGGCGGAACUCUGGGCCGGAACUGACGCUGAGGAGCGAAAGCGUGGGGAGCGAACAGG
rnacentral:rRNA from 1 species